rnacentral:ncRNA from 12 species
GAAAUUGGUCGUAGGGCGCGACCAACGAAAUCAAAAGAAAGUCCACUGAGA